CAAGUGAACACGUCUUACCGGAGUUGGAGCGGAGAGCCAGGGGGGACUUGAGACGCCAGGCGCUGAGGUCAGGGGCAGCUCUCUGAAAUACGAACGGCACCGGCAAGGGAACAAACAUGAUCUUCCUCCGGCUUCUUUCUUUGGCUUUGGGUGCAAAUGAGGAGGAGCCGGGGCGAGCUCGGUCCCCGCCGGAGUUUCGGCGCUUGUUUUUCGGGAGGCGGUUCGGCGUGGACAGCUCGCCGCUUGGUGCGUACACAUGUAGCCCCCGCCCCGGCACUUUUAUUGAGUUUAACCGGCGUGAAUGUCCAUGGAACCUGUUACGACCCCACACAGACGGAUUGACGAGUGAAAAAGUUAGGUCGAGACGACGAGGACUGCUCUUUCUGCGGGACGAAAUAAGCCAACAUGGAGGCCCCUGGAGAGGUUUCUGCUCCUUGGGGGAACGUGCAAGACUCAAGGGCCCGUGCACAGACCAACUGACAGUCAGACCCAGCGAGCGAGCGAGCAACAACGGCUCCCGUCACCGGGGACCGAAGCAACGGCCAAAGCCUCAAUAUGGUGCAAGCAAGGCAUGCCGCAAAUAGACCAGCGCACCUUUGCUAGCGCUAAUGGACGUAAUGGUGACUCGCCGGCGAUUACAGAUGAUUACGGUAAAAUGAGCCGGAAGCGCCCCUCCACAAAGCAUAACGAGAACGAGCGGCACCGUGGGUUCCAGAGCACCGUCUCAUCCCGACUUCACACAAAAUAAACGAUUUCAGUCAACGGAAA